UACGUAGGGGGCAAGCGUUAUCCGGAUUUACUGGGUGUAAAGGGAGCGCAGACAGCAGCGCAAGUCUGAUGUGAAAUCCCGGGGCUCAACCCCGGAACUGCAUUGGAAACUGCGCAGCUCGAGUAUCGGAGAGGUAAGCGGAAUUCCUAGUGUAGCGGUGAAAUGCGUAGAUAUUAGGAGGAACACCGGCGGCGAAGGCGGCUUACUGGACGAAGACUGACGUUGAGGCUCGAAAGCGUGGGGAGCAAACAGGAUUAGAUACCCCUGUA
rnacentral:rRNA from 1 species